UACGUAGGGUGCAAGCGUUGUCCGGAAUUAUUGGGCGUAAAGAGCUCGUAGGCGGUCUGUCGCGUCGGAUGUGAAAAUCAGGGCUCAACCCUGGACCUGCAUUCGAUACGGGCAGACUAGAGUUCGGCAGGGGGAGACUGGAAUUCCUGGUGUAGCGGUGAAAUGCGCAGAUAUCAGGAGGAACACCGGUGGCGAAGGCGGGUCUCGUGGGCCGAUACUGACGCUGAGGAGCGAAAGCGUGGGGAGCGAACAGG
rnacentral:rRNA from 1 species